rnacentral:rRNA from 1 species
UACGUAGGGUCCGAACGUUGUCCGGAGUUACUGGGCGUAAAGGGCGCGCAGGCGGCGGUGCUGGCCCGGCGUGAAAGCCCCCGGCUCAACCGGGGAGGGUCGUCGGGGACCGCACCGCUUGAGGGCGGUAGGGGCUGGUGGAAUGCCUGGUGUAGUGGUGAAAUGCGUAGAGAUCAGGCGGAACACCCGUGGCGAAGGCGGCCAGCUGGGCCGACCCUGACGCUGAGGCGCGAAGGCGUGGGGAGCGAACGGG